CGAACGCUGGCGGCAGGCCUAAUACAUGCAAGUCGAACGGCUCUUCGGAGCAGUGGCGGACGGGUGAGUAACGCGUGGGAAUGUGCCCUUUGGUACGGAACAACACAGGGAAACUUGUGCUAAUACCGUAUGUGCCCUUCGGGGGAAAGAUUUAUCGCCAUUGGAGCAGCCCGCGUUGGAUUAGGUAGUUGGUGAGGUAAAGGCUCACCAAGCCUACGAUCCAUAGCUGGUCUGAGAGGAUGACCAGCCACACUGGGACUGAGACACGGCCCAGACUCCUACGGGAGGCAGCAGUAGGGAAUCUUGCGCAAUGGGCGAAAGCCUGACGCAGCCAUGCCGCGUGUAUGAUGAAGGUCUUAGGAUUGUAAAAUACUUUCACCGAUGAAGAUAAUGACGGUAGUCGGAGAAGAAGCCCCGGCUAACUUCGUGCCAGCCGCCGCAGUAAUAC
rnacentral:rRNA from 1 species